ACCCCGAUAGUGUAACGGUAGCACAAAACCCUUUGAAGGUUUCAGUCCUGGUUCGAAUCCAGGUCGGGGUG
rnacentral:tRNA from 1 species